GAAAGUUGAUAGGGCAGAAAUUUGAAUGAUGCGUCGCCGGCACAAGGGCCGUGUAGUCUCAACCAUAAACGAUGCCGACCAGGGAUCAGCGGAUGUUGCUUUUAGGACUCCGCUGGUACCUUAUGAGAAAUCAAAGUUUUUGGGU
rnacentral:sRNA from 1 species